rnacentral:rRNA from 1 species
CCUAUGGUGACUGCGGAGGAUCAUUAACGAGUUCUGAAAGGGGUUGUAGCUGGCCUUCCGGGGCAUGUGCACACCCUGCUCAUCCACUCUACACCUGUGCACUUACUGUAGGUUUGGCGUGGGCUUCGGGGCCUCCGGGCUCUGAGGCAUUCUGCCGGCCUAUGUAUCACUACAAACACAUAAAGUAACAGAAUGUAUUCGCGUCUAACGCAUCUAAAUACAACUUUCAGCAACGGAUCUCUUGGCUCUCGCAUCGAUGAAGAACGCAGCGAAAUGCGAUAAGUAAUGUGAAUUGCAGAAUUCAGUGAAUCAUCGAAUCUUUGAACGCACCUUGCGCUCCUUGGUAUUCCGAGGAGCAUGCCUGUUUGAGUGUCAUGGAAUUCUCAACCCACACGUCCUUGUGAUGUUGCGGGCUUGGAUUUGGAGGCUUGCUGGCCCUCUGCGGUCGGCUCCUCUUGAAUGCAUUAGCUUGAUUCCGUGCGGAUCGGCUCUCAGUGUGAUAAUUGUCUACGCUGUGACCGUGAAGCGUUUGGCGAGCUUCUAACCGUCCUGUAUGGGACAACUUCUUGACAUCUGACCUCAAAUCAGGUAGGACUACCCGCUGAACUUAAGCAUAUCAAAAAGGGGGGAAAAA